CCACGGCCCAAUUGGCCACGUCUAGUUCAACCAGGGGAGUGUAGUGGACCAGUUGGAGGUGCAAAAUACAAGAAUAGGCGUUGGGAUUUGUCAACACUUGGGCCAACUAUGGCCACGACCCAUGAUUCGUUGCAAUUCAACCAAAAACCACAAACAGCGAUGAAAAACAUAAAUGUCCAGUCACUUUCGCCUGCGUCCUUCUCUCUAGCUUGAACGCAAGAACACAAAAUCGCGACGCCUUCAUCUCAAUUCCAGAUUCAACAAGAAAAUGACCAAACAAAAUUCCAUCAAAUCGUACAUACAUUCGAUUUUAGAAUCAAGACACAAUUAUUCAUGGAUUUGGAUCGAAAAUACCAAACAGAUCUUUAAGCUUCACGGUGAGUUACAACAAGCAUACAAUCGGAGCCCUAAGUCGUCGUGCUUCACGAAUUUAAGCAUAAAAUCGCAUUAGCCUGUACCUGAGGAGUUCGGCUUGGCGGCUCAACAAUGACAAUCUCCAGGUAUUCAUUUCAUUCCUCAUUUAUUCUUCGUGAUGUUUCUUCUUGUUCUUGUUUAUGCAUUGUAUUAUUCUUGAUUUCUUCGUCGCCUUCUUGAACUUGUUGAUGAAUAACUUGCACCUUAUGUUGUGAUUGCUGCAUUGUGAAUUUCUAAGGUGAUGUUGAUGUGCGUUUCUGAAUUAGCUCUUAAAUGGCUUACAAAAAUGGUAGGUUCUUUGGUGGGGCGGUGAGCAUGGAUUAUGUAACAGAGAUUUUAUUCUAAAUUGUUUGUUAUAUGUUCUUUGUUAUAGUGAAGAAUGGAGAAUUGAGAAGAGUUUGGAGAGCUUGGGGUUGAAGAAGGUUUAAGGUGAUUUAGAUGGGAGUGUGGGGAGUUUUGGUGCAUGCAGAAUGAUGUGAAGAUUAGAGAAUGGUGAAAAACGUCCCCGCUAGCGAUGUCGAUUCAGUCUAUUUUAUAGAGUUGGUUAAAAGGGGUAGUUUAGGAUUUUGCAUUUAAAGUUUCAGUUGUGAAAUUCAGGACCUGCAGGGAGGUGCAUUGUUGCGCUUUUGAAUUAUAUUCCCUGCAUUGCCGUUGAAUUUGCAAAUUGGUUCCUUGAUAAUUCUUUUGCACAUGCCUUGUAAAAUAACUUGUAUUGGGAUUCUCUUGUAAAUCUUUAUUUGGGCCUUAAUGAUGUAUGUUAUUCACCCCAAAUGCUUUCUUGAGCCAUGCUUGAAAUACCAUGCUCUUUUUGAACUUGCUUGAACUAUGAUAAAACCAUGAUAAUUGGAA
rnacentral:lncRNA from 1 species